AUGAAGGCGGCCAACAAGGUCACGGCGCUGCCCGGGCAGCCGGAGGGCGUCGACUUCGACCAAUACGGUGGGUACGUGACCGUCGACGAGGAGAACGGCCGCGCCCUCUUCUACUAUCUCGUCGAAUCGCCUUCCGGUGCCUCUGACAAGCCACUCGUCUUGUGGCUCAACGGAGGGCCAGGAUGCUCGUCGCUGGGCUACGGCGCAAUGCAGGAGCUCGGUCCCUUCCGUGUAGCUGAAGACAACAAAACGCUCGGCAGAAACAUGCACGCCUGGAACAACGCGGCCAACGUGAUCUUCCUGGAGUCCCCCGCCGGCGUCGGGUUCUCCUACUCCAACACGUCUUCAGACUACGAUCUCAGCGGAGACGAGAGAACCGCCGCCGACGCGUACGUCUUCCUGGUGAAAUGGCUCGAGAGGUUCCCCGAGUACAAGGGCCGCGCUUUCUACAUCUCCGGCGAGAGCUACGCCGGCCACUACGCGCCACAGCUCGCCGUCACCAUCCUGCUCCACAACACGCACAACAACAGAACCAUAGUCAACCUGCAAGGCAUCUUGGUUGGCAACCCUUAUCUGGACGACAAGAGGAACAAUCAGGGGACGAUUGACUUCUUCUGGACCCACGGGGUGAUGUCGGACGAGGUCUACGCCAACGUCACCGAGCACUGCGACUCUGCAGGUAAAGCAUGCAGCGGCGCCUGGGACGCGUUCGACGCCGGCCAAAUUGAUGCGUACAACAUCUACGCCCCCGUUUGCGUCGACGCGCCCGACGGAGCGUAUCACCCCAGCGGCUACCUGCCUGGGUAUGAUCCGUGCAGCGACUAUCCUACCAUUGCCUAUCUCAAUGAUCCGGCGGUGCAGGACGCUUUCCACGCUAGGAUGACGGAGUGGUCGCCAUGCAGAAGCUUUAAGUGGAAAGACGCUCCAGUGACUAUGCUCCCAUCCAUCAAAUUCUUGAUCGAGAACAAGCUUCCCGUUUGGAUAUUCAGUGGUGACUUCGACUCCGUUUGCCCUCUUCCGGCGACGAGGUACUCCAUCCAAGACCUUGGCCUUCCUGUGACCACUCCAUGGCGCCCAUGGGUGGCAAAGGAGGAGGUGGCAGGAUAUGUCCAAGAGUACGCCGGUGGAUUGACAUUCCUAUCAGUGAGAGGUGCCGGUCAUCUUGUCCCGUCCUUCCAGCCUGAGAGGGCGUUGAUAAUGCUGACCUCUUUCCUGAAAGGGAUGCUCCCCCCUUACAUGCAAGACUAG
rnacentral:rRNA from 1 species